rnacentral:rRNA from 1 species
CGAGUGGCGGACGGGUGAGUAAUGUCUGGGAAACUGCCUGAUGGAGGGGGAUAACUACUGGAAACGGUAGCUAAUACCGCAUAAUGUCGCAAGACCAAAGAGGGGGACCUUCGGGCCUCUUGCCAUCGGAUGUGCCCAGAUGGGAUUAGCUAGUAGGUGGGGUAACGGCUCACCUAGGCGACGAUCCCUAGCUGGUCUGAGAGGAUGACCAGCCACACUGGAACUGAGACACGGUCCAGACUCCUACGGGAGGCAGCAGUGGGGAAUAUUGCACAAUGGGCGCAAGCCUGAUGCAGCCAUGCCGCGUGUAUGAAGAAGGCCUUCGGGUUGUAAAGUACUUUCAGCGGGG